UAUGGCCAUACCAUGUUGAAACACCAGUACCUUUAUGAUCACCAAAGUUAAGCAGGGUCAAGGCUGGUCAGUACUUAGAUGAGUGACCGCAAAGGAAUAAUAGAUGCUGUAAG